rnacentral:lncRNA from 1 species
GUCCUAUUCUGUUAAUACUGACAAGUAAAAUAACCCGUUCACUGGGUGAAUAUUUCAUUGGUAAUAUUAUUAGCCGGUUUUCAAAACGUGCAACAUUUACUUCCUUUAUCUUAUACCUUUUUGAAAAGAAAUUAGCAUAUUAAAAAAUCAAAUUAUAGAUUCCAUCCAGAUCCUUAACUUAUUUAAAGUUCUAUAUAAUUAUUUCCAAUAAAUUUAGAACAUUCCCAUUUCACUAAAUAACAACAUAUUGG